rnacentral:rRNA from 1 species
GACGUAGGGCGCGAGCGUUGUCCGGAUUUAUUGGGCGUAAAGAGCUCGUAGGCGGCUUGUCGCGUCGACUGUGAAAUCCCGCGGCUCAACUGCGGGUCUGCAGUCGAUACGGGCAGGCUAGAGUUCGGUAGGGGGAGACUGGAAUUCCUGGUGUAGCGGUGAAAUGCGCAGAUAUCAGGAGGAACACCGGUGGCGAAAGGGCGGGGUCUCUGGGGCCCGAUACUGACGCUGAGGGAGCGAAAAGCGUGGGGGGAGCGAACAGG